rnacentral:rRNA from 1 species
GACGAACGCUGGCGGCGUGCUUAACACAUUCAAGUCGAACGAGUGGCGAACGGGGGAGUAAUACGUGGGUAACCUGCCCUCUUUUUGGGAUACACCUCGGAAACGGGGUCUAAUACCGAAAAAAGGGGGAUGGGCUCGCGGCAUAUCAGCUUGUUGGUGGGGUGAUGGCCUACCAAGGGGGUGACGGGUAGCCGGCCUGAGAGGGGGCACUGCAACAUUGGGACUGAGAGAAGGCCCAGACGCCUACGGGGGGUAGCAGUGGGGGAGAUGGCACAAUGGGUGAAAGCCUGAGGCAUCGACGGCGGGGGGGGGUGGAAGUCUUUGGGGUUGGGUACGUCUUUCGCUAUCGAACGGGUAGGUGGAGAAGAAGCGCCGGCUAAUGACGUGCCAGCAGCCGCGGUAAUUC